rnacentral:rRNA from 1 species
AGAGUUUGAUCCUGGCUCAGAACGAACGCUGGCGGCGUGCCUAACACAUGCAAGUCGUACGAGAAAUCCUGGGCAACUGGGAGAGUAAAGUGGCGCACGGGUGAGUAACGCGUGGGUAACCUACCCUUGAAUUGGGGAUAACUCUUCGAAAGGGGAGUUAAUACCGAAUAAUAUUUCAAUUCCUGCGGGAGUUGGAAUCAAAGGUGGCCUCUGCAUGCAAGCUAUCGUUUAAGGAUGGGCCCGCGUACCAUUAGCUAGUUGGUAGGGUAAUGGCCUACCAAGGCAACGAUGGUUAACUGGUCUAAGAGGAUGGCCAGCCACACUGGAACUGAGAUACGGUCCAGACUCCUACGGGAGGCAGCAGUGGGGAAUCUUGCGCAAUGGGGGAAACCCUGACGCAGCAACGCCGCGUGGGUGAUGAAGGCCUUCGGGUCGUAAAGCCCUGUCAGGUGGGAAGAAACUUGUGGAUGUUAAUACCGUCCACACUUGACGGUACCAUCGGAGGAAGCACCGGCUAACUCCGUGCCAGCAGCCGCGGUAAUACGGAGGGUGCAGGCGUUGUUCGGAAUUAUUGGGCGUAAAGCGCGUGUAGGUGGUCAGGUAAGUCAGAUGUGAAAGCCUUCUGCUUAACAGAAGAAGUGCAUUUGAAACUGCUUGGCUAGAGUACGGGAGAGGAGAGUGGAAUUCCCGGUGUAGAGGUGAAAUUCGUAGAUAUCGGGAGGAACACCAGUGGCGAAAGCGGCUCUCUGGUCCGAUACUGACGCUGAGACGCGAAAGCGUGGGGAGCAAACAGGAUUAGAUACCCUGGUAGUCCACGCCGUAACGAUGGGCACUAGUGUAGAGUAUUGACCCCUUCUGUGCCGAAGCUAACGCAUUAAGUGCCCGCCUGGGGAGUACGCCGCAGCUAAACUCAAAGGAAUUGACGA